UUAAAUUGCUGUGGUAUUUUGACUAUACAAAGGUUUUGAAUUAAGAUUUUUAAUUGAAAGCUAAGAGAUGGACUCUCAGAGAAAAACUUUUUUUAAAUUAAAAAUUGAAAUUUUUUUAAUUUGUGCAGAAACAAUUAUUAAUAUUAAGGACAAGAAGACCCUAUGAAUUUAUUAAAUUUCAUUCAAUAUGUAAUUACUAUUGAAGAAAUUUUGGCUGGGGCGGCUAAAAAAUAUUUUAAACUUUUUAAAAAUAAAAUGAUCCAUUAUUAAUGAUUAUAUGUUAAAUACUCUAGGGAUAACAGCGUUAUAUUUUUUGAUAGACCAUAUUGACAAAAAAGUUUGCGACCUCGAUGUUGGAUUAGGAUACUUUUUUAAUGCAGAUAUUAAAAAAAGAAGUUUGUUCAACUUUCAAUUUCCUACAUGAUCUGAGUUCAGACCGG
rnacentral:rRNA from 1 species